rnacentral:rRNA from 1 species
AUUGAACGCUGGCGGCAUGCUUUACACAUGCAAGUCGAACGGCAGCGGGGUAGUGCUUGCACUACUGCCGGCGAGUGGCGAACGGGUGAGUAAUAUAUCGGAACGUACCGAGUAAUGGGGGAUAACUAAUCGAAAGAUUGGCUAAUACCGCAUACGUCCUGAGGGAGAAAGCGGGGGAUCGCAAGACCUCGCGUUAUUCGAGCGGCCGAUAACUGAUUAGCUAGUUGGUGGGGUAAAGGCCUACCAAGGCGACGAUCAGUAGCGGGUCUGAGAGGACGAUCCGCCACACUGGGACUGAGACACGGCCCAGACUCCUACGGGAGGCAGCAGUGGGGAAUUUUGGACAAUGGGGGCAACCCUGAUCCAGCCAUGCCGCGUGUAUGAAGAAGGCCUUCGGGUUGUAAAGUACUUUUGUUAGGGAAGAAAAGGGAAGUGCUAAUACCACUUUUUGCUGACGGUACCUAAAGAAUAAGCACCGGCUAACUACGUG